GAUGAAGAACGUAGCGAAAUGCGAUAAGUAAUGUGAAUUGCAGAAUUCAGUGAAUCAUCGAACCUUUGAACGCACAUUGCGCCCCCUGGUAUUCCGGGGGGCAUGCCUGUUCGAGCGUCAUUUCACCACUCAAGCCUCGCUUGGUAUUGGGCGACGCGGUCCGCCGCGCGCCUCAAAUCGACCGGCUGGGUCUUCCGUCCCCUCAGCGUUGUGGAAACUAUUCGCUAAAGGGUGCCGCGGGAGGUCACGCCGCAAAACAACCCCAUUUCUAAGGUUGACCUCGGAUCAGGUAGGGAUACCCGCUGAACUUAAGCAUAUCAAUAAGCGGAGGA
rnacentral:misc_RNA from 1 species